rnacentral:rRNA from 1 species
GACGAAGGUGGCAAGCGUUGUUCGGAAUCACUGGGCAUAAAGCGCACGUAGGCGGCCCUGUAAGUCGCGUGUGAAAUACCUCGGCUCAACCGAGGAACUGCGCGCGGUACUGCAGGGCUUGAGGUCCGGAGGGGAGAGUGGAAUUCCCGGUGGAGCGGUGAAAUGCGUAGAGAUCGGGAAGAACGCCGGCGGCGAAAGCGACUCUCUGGUCGGAAUCUGACGCUGAGGUGCGAAAGCUAGGGGAGCAAACGGG